GUCAGUGUGAUAUAGUGGUUUGAAUGUUGAACUAUGACUCUGGAGAUCAGGGUUCAAUUACCUGCUUGGCCA